rnacentral:snRNA from 1 species
GUUCUUACCUGGCAGGGGAGAUACCACGAUGGAGAAGGUGGUUUUUCUAGGGCAAGGCUCAUCCUUUGCACUUCAGGUGUGCAGGCCUCCUCCAUAUUCUUUCCAGUAGUUGUAGUAUGUAGCAGGCUGCGUAC